AUACGGAGGGUGCAAGCGUUAUCCGGAAUCAUUGGGUUUAAAGGGUCCGUAGGCGGACUAAUAAGUCAGGAGUGAAAUCCCACAGCUUAACUGUGGAACUGCCUUUGAUACUGUUAGUCUUGAGUUAUAUGGAAGUAGAUAGAAUGUGUAGUGUAGCGGUGAAAUGCUUAGAGAUUACACAGAAUACCGAUUGCGAAGGCAGUCUACUACAUAUAUACUGACGCUAAUGGACGAAAGCGUGGGGAGCGAACAGGAUUAGAAACCCUAGUAGUCC
rnacentral:rRNA from 1 species